UGAGUUAUCUCUUUUGUAAAAUUGGUAACUCAAAUAAUUAAUCAACAUCAACCAAAAUCGUAUGUAUUAGAGUUGAGGUAGUAGUUAUUUUGCUUUCUGUCAAUUACCUUACGGUUACUUUUACUUUUUUAACACUUUAAUAUUUGAAUUGCAUAGAAAUUAUUUAUCACGUUUACUUUCCUUGAGUUACUAAACCAUUUUCAAAAAAUAAAAUCAUGUAAGUAUUUAUUAGUUAGUCAAAGAUUUUUAUAAAUUUUCUUAUUUGAUUUGGAUUAUUAUUCAAACAAAAUUAUUUCUUUAAUUUUAACUGUUAACUAUGUUUAGUAACUAGAAAUUUUAUAUAUGAAAUUACAUGAAUAUAUAAAUACAUUUGCUCAGUUGCCUUUGCUAUAAUGUGUAUAUAUAUAUACAUGUUUAAGUAUAUUUAUUUAAUUUUUAUUAUAUAUUUUAUACUUUCAGUCUAGUUUACUAAAUUCAUGAUAAAGGUUAUCAUUGUUAGCAUUUAUAAAAUUAUAUUUUAAAUAAACUACUACAAUUUAUACAUCAAAAAUGUUACCAGUCAGUUAUUUUUAAAAAUUAGUAACUCAUAUUUUGACAGCGAAUUCACUACAUAAAUUUACAGUUUCUACCACAUAAUUUUUACUGCGAGUUACAUCGAAUUGUAAUUUUUAUUAUAAAUCAACUCUAAUACAACAUGUCACCAAUCGGAGCCAUAAUAAAGUUGGCUUGAGUCCCUCUUUAUGCUGCCACAUCAUCAGUAUGCAUAGGGCAUUUUUCGCCACGUGUCACUUCAUUAAAUUUUAAAUGAAAUCGAUUUUUUCGUUCUGAAUACCGAAACCCAUUAUGGGCUCUACGACAGCAAGACUUCUGUUUGGGCUUAUAUCAUGUUGUUUUCUCAGGCCCAAUGGUUUUGUGUGUGAGCUUACGAUCCCUCUUCUGCUUCCUGUAAUCCAAGAUUAGGGUUUCUGUAAUCGAAGAGCUUACCAUCUCUCUUCCACUUCCUCGGCCAAGUAACUCUCGGGAGUUAUGUCAUUCAAUGAGAAAACCCAAAAAUCCCAUGAACUCUUCUUUAUUGCUGCCUUUAUUUGUUGUUCAGUAGCUAUCUUCAGCAUCUAUAUAUAUUUUCGAUGUGGCUUCCCCGUUUCCCAUAGUCUCCGCCUAUUACUUCUGGACUGAAACUCUCAAACAAGAUCUUCAAAAAUGGCAACUUCCAGCUACACUUUUUCGAGUUGAAGACAGGCCGGUGAAAUGAUAUUGUUCAGACGAGACUUCUCCGUUUUUGGGCGUCUCAGAAUGUGAAGAAAGGAGGUCAAUUGAUAAGCAUGGAUAUGCUACUGCUUGAUGCCAAGGUGACGAUGGUUCAGGGCUUCAGGCAUCAAGAAAUGUACACCGGCUGAACAUCUUCUAACAGUUAUUGAGUGACAAGAAGCAACCGAAACGUCUUUAUGGAGAUAUCCGAAACGGUUCAAACCAAUCCCAGUGGAGCACUUCAGAUUUCUGAAUUAUGACCAACUAAUGGUACGAGCCAACACCAAUUCUGAUUUACCAGGUUAGAUUUAAAUUCACACUUUUAAUACUUCUCAAUAUACUACUUUGAUACAAGACUUACUAGCUUUGGUUAUAUUUCCUCCAUAGAUAUUGUUGGCCAAGUAAAGAGGACUAGAACUACAUACAGGGAAGGAGACUCAGAGUACAACACAUGAUGAUUACCAUAAGCAUCAAAAGGUAUAAACUCACAUACAGUUUUUUUUCUAUUAAAGUUUAGCCAACUUUCUUUAUUAUUAUCAUGCAACUAGCUCGAAUUCUUAAAUAUAUAGUAUGCCCAUCUAUACUGAAAAGUAAUGUUCUAGCUGUCUUCACUAUUUCGUGAUUUGGUAUUAUAUACAAACUGCUUUUGGCCCAAAGAAAGUCAACAUCAUAUCAUAUGCACUAUCAUAUGUAUGUUUUAUGGAUAAACGUGAAACCAUCUCUAAAUAAAAACUGUUAUGGUACAAGAAACCGAACACGUCGUCGUACGAAUGCAGGUUCCAAAUAAUUAAUGAGCAUUAUCUCUGUAGAACCCAUACAUUUGUAUAGAUUAUACGUUCCUUUCUUAAUUAAAUAAUUUGAGCUGUCAUCCUAAAUUAUAAUUUGAUCUUAUCUUCUCUAAUGCUUCGAGCAAAUAUAGAAAGCAACUAGGUCUAUGUGUCGACAUGCAUAAAAAAUUUCGCAACUGUCGUUCCAGGAACUCAAAUGUAUGCCUAAGUGUGUUUGAAGGAUUGGCGAAAGCUCUUGAUGAAAUGAGAAUUUCUAUUGAACCGAAGGUGGUGGUUGCCACAAACUUCAACCCUAAAUUGAGAGUAAGCAAUUAACCACCAUUUCUUAAGCAUGAUAUAGCUGGUCUUAAAAUGUUAAUUGACUCAAGUUUUUUUCAGGUCGGCUCUUCCUGAAUGCAACCUCUCCAAUCCAUUUCUAUUUUAAUAAUGACAGUGGUGCAGGUAAAAGUUAUCUUGAGAGGUAAUGACUUUCACCACUAUUUUCUACAUAAGGAGAAAACCUUAAUAGUCCAAACCCACUGACUGAAAGCGGUUCUUAUUUAGGACAUGUGGCAUUGGAAAAGGCUCGACCUCCAGCCCUAUAAAAUAUGGGGGUGUUGAGAAGAUUGAGAAACUAAAAAAAUAAGCAAAUCAAUAUAUAAACAUAUUUAGGAACUAGAUGUAACCAAAGAUAUAAAACUCCGCGCAAAAUAAAACAUCAUUUGUUGUUA